GCCGCCACGUGACCUACGCGUCCCUUCCGGUGGCGCGGUAGUCCGUGAAGUUAGGUGAAAGUGACUUCCGAAAGGGCCGAAGGCACUUCCGGUCGACGUGACUUUAAGCAUCCGUGCCCGCCCGAGCCGCCGCGCUGACCACCGAGUCACGACUGGAGCGGUCGGGCCGGGCCUGUUCCCCGACCAGACUGAUGUUCAGACGCCCGCGCACCCGGCAGUGCCCAUAAACAUCUGUCCAUCGGAGUAAUGAACCCGCAGCUGGGAGGCAGCUAAAUCUGAGUGUUGGGAAGACGGCCGGCUUGAGGUCAACCCCCAGGGCCAUCAGCCUUUCUGAGCCUGUUUCCUCCACUGAGAAAGGAACACCAUCACAGCGCCCACCUCGGGCUGAGGUCUCCGCGAGGGGUGCCUAUGAGGGCUAAGCGGGCGCGCCAGGCCCCCUGGCCCUCACCUGUCUCCCUCUGAUUGGGCGGCGGCAUUUUCACUGACAGCGUGGCUGAGAGAUGAUCUGGAAAUAGCCAUCGCUGUCAGAGAUUGCCCCUUCUGGCUUAACCCCACUCCUGCCUGGGGCCCAACAAGAUCAUGACCACACUCUCCAAGCUGAGAAGGCCUCCCUUAGCGUAGCCGCUUUGGGUUGACCUCUGCCCUGAAGGUCCUGCCUCAGCAGGGCAACACCAGGAAGGUGAAGAUGGAGAAAAAGCUGGGGGCGGCGGGAGCUGUCUCCCAAACCACACCCGCCAGCCACGGCCCUUCCCUUUCAGGGCGGUGGGCAUGAGGUGGGGACAGGGCAGCCGUGACUUUAGAGUUAAGCUACAGGGGGCAGGGAGGGUGGGUGUUCUUUUCUGUCAUGUGAAGACAGACUCAAACUUCCCUGGAGCCCAAGGGCCCUGACCACAGCAAUCAUCCAUUCCCCGCGUGUGCACAGGGAGAAACUGAGGCCCAGAGAGAGGGGCAGUGACAACCAAGGUCAUUCAGCAGAUCCAGCUCCCACCUCAAGCUCACUGGCCAUAAGGGGCCGUCUCCUUCCAAAAGGAACCCUUGUGAUAGCAGGGGGCGGGGACUCCCUGGGGCCUGGCAAGAAGAGCAUGAAUGAAGAACGCACGAUUCUGGCUGUGACCUGGUGUGUGGCCUCAGGCCUCAUUUCCUCCAUCAGCCAAUGUCACCUCCUCCAGGACAUCUCUGGCCUCUCAAAGAUGCUGUCAGGUGCCCCUUACCACAGCCCUUGCCACCCUCUGCUGCCAUCGCAUGUCCUCGUGUCUGACUCCCGCCUCAGCACGGGAGCCUUGUCUGCGCUGAUCCCAGUGCCAGCAGAUGCUUGCUCCUCACCUGCAGGUGUCUGGGUUGAGCUCUAAGCCCCGCCCUUGGCAACGGAGGAAGCUGCGGCGUCGGCAGCGGCAGUGACAGGUCCGGG